UGGGUUGUGGCUCAGUGGUGUAGUGCUCACCUAGUACGUGUGAGGCCCUGGGUUUGAUCCUCAGCACCACAU
rnacentral:tRNA from 1 species